GGCUUCGUAGUUCAACUGGAUAGAAUAUCAGAUUUCGGCUCUGAGGGUUGGGGGUUCGAAUCCUCCCGAGGUCA
rnacentral:tRNA from 2 species